UCAAGCUGCUGGACUUCGGCUGUGGAGAUCUGCUCAAGCGCUCGGCCUACAAAUACUUCGCAGGAACUAUUCAAUACGCUCCACCUGAGUGGUUCUGCAGACAGCGCUACCAUGCGGGUCCAGCUACGGUGUGGUCAGUAGGAGUGACCCUCUUCAACAUCCUGUGCAACCGUUUCCCCUUCGGAGGCUCACUGAGGGUCACGUCCAGGAGCAAACUGACCUUCCCCAUAACUCUGUCAACAGAGGCAGUAGACGCAGAUGGAGAAGAGGAGAACACACACCGAACACACACUGAACAGCAGAUUCCAGCAGAAAACACACUCUGAUGCAGUAGUAAAGUCCCUCAUCAGAGACACUGACAUUCUCUAUAUGCAGAUCAUAGGAGUUACUGGAGCUGUUGGGCACAAAACUGAAGCGUGGAAACGUCUCCUUGAAGAGUGUUGAGCGAUCUAUUGACAGAGAUGGCUGAUUCUCAUGUGAGCAGUUUCUCAUCCAAAUAAUGUCUGAUCCAAAAGGUAAAGCGCAGUAGAGAGUGACGCUUUCUCCUGGUUUAACUCUCAUGUCCACUUCUGUCCCAAACACUUUCUGCUCUUCACACAACCAAACACCUGCAGAACAAACGCAAGAGUGUGUGUUAAAUCUCUAGCACAUCAUCAAGAAUACAUCAUGACAUUCAAACACAGAAAUAUUGACUCACACAGAAGUAUGAUGACUGUAAAUCUCGCUCACUCCAUCUGAGACUGUGAAUGUGAGGGUCUUCAGCUGCAGUGUGAAGGGUCCGCUUCAUUGUGGUGGGAGGGAUCUCUGUGGAAGAGCUCUGAAUCUUUAUGCUGUUGUUUUGUUUUUAGGGGUAUAAUCUGGUCUGUUUCCUCUCAUCUGUUCCUUUAAACACACUUUUAAAGCUCUUUUAGAUGUUCAAGUUUAAUUAUAAAAUGUAAGAGUGAACUCAGUUUCAUAAAUUGUUGGGACUUUUGUUUUGGACGAUGUGAUGUUUAAUGUUGUAAUGGAGAUGACCUGAAGUUUUGAGCGUCUUUAUGAGUUUCUUGUUUGGCAUCGUUCAUCUACAUGCUGAUUGUUUUCUUUGGCUUCUAAACCUCCAGAAUGAAUGUCUUUACUCAAGGUUUCUUUUGCUCUUGGUCUUUAAAAGUUGCUAGAAACUUAUUUUUGCUUUUGUCUGUGACCGCAAAGCUUUCCAUUCCAUUUGUGUACUCUAUACAAGCUCAAGUCACAACUAGUGCACUGACACAAUCACGAGGCUGUGGUUUCCUGUCUCAGCUUGUCUUAAAAUCCCAUGGUGAAACAAGAGCAAUCAUGGUUAGUUUUAUUAUAUCAGUUUAAUUUGAUUGAUUGAUUAAUUGAUUGAUGAAGUGUUUGUGCUAGUAUGGUGGGCCUGGUGAUAAUCUACAGACACUUUACUGUUAAAUGAAUAAUGUGUAUCAGAGUUACAGUGUGUAUUUGAUCAGUGUGAAUUUGACAUGAAAUGUGAAAUUUACUAAAUUGUAAACUCAUAAUCUGAAAAUGAAAAUGUCAAAUAUUUUUUUUUAACUUGAUCAAAACUCAUAAAUACAGAGACGUAAGCAUUUACAAGAGGACAGUGACAAAGGCCACUGGAAACAUUUGUGGUUUGGGUCGUACCCUAGAAAAACAAAGAGCAGGCUGGACUCUCUCCAUCACCAUAACUAGCACUUCAGUCACACAUGAAAAGCGCUUCUCACAUCCUGUGGCAUUUAACAGAAUAACUCUUGCACUAAAUGACUACAGUACAUUUCUACAUCAGUCUACUGUAAUGAUGGCUGAGUUCAGAAUCACAUACUGUACUUUCCUACUGUAUAGGACAGAUGGAAACAGGAUUUCUAAAGCACGAAUCUUGACAACAUUAAUGCUUGCUCUUUUUUUAUCAUUUAUGAUCAAGUAGCCUGGGUGAACUAUUAAGCUAAUAUUGUAUUUAGUACUGCUCAUCUGUAUAUUUUACACACUAUAAAUUUGAUUUGUCAUAGUUUUAUGCCGUUUACAUCAUAAACAACAGCAGAACUUUGUGUACCAGUUUGAGCUUGAAAAUGUUUGUGUUUACAGUAAAUUUUAUUAUUUGUUAUUAUGAGCACAAUCCCAUCAGUUUAUGAAUGAAGUAAAGUCUUAAUCCAAUCUUACUUAAAUCUGAACACAUCAUAUUUAU